rnacentral:lncRNA from 1 species
GUUACAGGGACUGAAAGAGCAAAAGAAGAAAGGACAAAGUAGAGUGAAAUAAGGGGCAUACAGAAUCAUUUGAUUCCUUAAUUACUAUGGCAACUCAUCAUGGGGACCACUAUCAGGGGACAGAUCAGAAGCCAGAAGUCUCAAAGCAAGAUUAGAAAAGGAUAAAAAUAGGGAAAAAUAAUACAGAGGAAAAAGUAGAAAGAGUACAAAGGUACAUUUGAAAGGAAGGCAUUAUUCAAAAUAUGAAUAAUUUAUAAUGUGGGCGUCAUAAAAAAUUGUCAUAAGAAGUAAUUAUGGACUUUAGGACAUCAAGAAGGAGGUAUUCACACGUUCACAAAUAGAAGCAGGAGGGAAAAUGAGGAGUAGCAAAAAAUGAAGAUAGGCAGGACAACAAUUUUUGUUAUUUUUUGUGGUAGCAGUUAUUGACAUGCAUUAUGUAAAACUGAAUGGAACUUGACUGAAAAGAAAAUUUUCAACAGACCAGUAACAUAUAAAGGUAGUCUUUUUGGCAAAUAAUGUAAUUUAAAAUAUUUUCUGUAGAAUGCCUUUUUGUACCUUGAAAAAUCUUUUCAAUAAAGAAGCUGUAAGGAAUAAUAAGUUACAGCUCAGUGCUGCAUUUUGGAAAUAAAAAAUCCCCCAUAGAUGUGCCAAAUGUAAUAGUACAGCAAUAAUACUAAAUAUCCAUAAUAAAAUAUCUGAAGUUUGUCAGACAUUAUGUGAGGUUUUGGCCAAAUAUGACUGUAGCAAUUUUUAUAAUGCUGUUUUCUAUACAGCUCUAAGAAUGUUUUGAAAAAAUUAAUAUUGAUAGUCUUCAUAAUCAUAAUAGCUAAUAUUUGUAGUGUUUCGUCAUUCCCAAAGCCCUUUCUCCCAUAUCCAAGAAGCUUUUUGUUUUUAAUACAAAAUUUAAGAAUAGUUAGGAGCAGCUCUACUAGUAUGUGGUAUGAAUAUGCUGAACUAGCAUUACUGCUCCUCCUCUCUGGAUCCCUGAAGCAGCAUAGAGGGUGAAACACCCUCAAAUGAAGAAGGCUAUGAGAAGAUCCAGUAAUGACUUCUUUGUAAACAUUGCUUGGUAAAGGGACCAGCAGCGGGCAGUGGCAGUGUAAGGGCUGGGAUAAUAAGCAGCCAGCCAGGCUGUGGGAGAAUCUGAUAGGAAAGGAACUGAUAGAAAUCUGCUCGUGCUUCUUCCUCACUGUUGCCUCAGGGAAAUCAGUGCCUUCCUGCACGUUGUAUUGUGACCCUGAGCUCUGGUCCAGGGGAAAAUCAGGGCUAUACCGAAGCCCUGUGCUGGAGAGGAGCCAAGGAACCCCUUAGGUCCUAAUCAACCCAAGGCAGCUGCCAGCCCACUCUCCUUCCCUAACUUCCCCGGGCUGGUGAAUUACAGCCUAAGGACCGAUCCUCCUGAGGCUGGAGCGAAGGUAAACUCUUGAUCUCAGAGGUGACUGGCCAUGGCUUUCCUGAGUUUGGGAUUCUUUACUGUAGAGCUCAUUUUCUGCCACCCCCUGAGCAACGUGUCACGACUCAGGUUGGGUCUAGUAAAGUGAUGAACUGUCCGUUUCACCUGGGGCUGUCCUAGUUUUCAUCCACCGUUCCAGAAAACCCCUCAGUGCUAGUGGGGCAGCCUCGGCCUGUCCACACACACAUUUUCAGAGAAACAUGAAUGUAUGGGCCAAAUAAGAUAUUUUCGAGUCUUUUAGUAAAAUCAAUAGUCUUUAAAAAUAUCUAAAAUCAAAGAGAGAAAAUACAUUUUCAAAUUAAAAGUCUAAAUUAUAUCAUCAUGGUGGGGGUACAUCAAAGGCAUUCUUGUCUUAUUAAGGGGGAGAUUUUAUGUGUGUGUGUGUGUGUAUUCACCAGAAGAAUAAAGAAAGAAUAAUAUUAAAAGUUAAUUAAAAGUAUUAAAAAUAAUAGGGGGUGAAAUAUGGCCAGGUCCCACCCAAAUCUCACUAAUUAAGAAUCUAGGGGACAGACAGGUGGACAUGUGUUUAUUGGGAAUAUUAUAUACAUUGAACAAAAUUCUCUAAAUUAUUCUGUCAUGCCCUUAUGAAGAAAAUCAAUGUGACAAUAUUAAUUCUGUAUUUGCUAAAGUAAAAUAUCAUACUUUAAAUGGUGAUCCUGAAAAUUGCUGUUGAGGAUUUUGAAUCAGUAGAUGACCUACCCUAAAUCCAGAACCUAUUUGGGUUUUUUUUUUUUGUUUUAUUUUGUUUUGUUUUGUUUUGCUUUUAGGGCCAGAGGUGCAGCAUAUGGAAGUUCCCAGGCUAGGGGUUGAAUAGGAGCUACAGCUGCCAGCCUAUAUCAUAGCCACAGCAACACAGAAUUCUGGCUGUGUCUGCUUACGGCAAUGCCAGAUCCUUAACCCACUGAGCUAGGCCAGGGAUCAAACCUGCAUCCUCAUGGAUCCUAAUCAGGUUUGUUACCACCGAGCCACAACGGGAACUCCCCAGAACCUAGUUUAAAUUCCACCUCCCCAUGUGUCCUUCAAAUAGAAUUAAUUUCUCUCUAUUCUCCAAACCCACCAUACUUUUCUUUUGAUAUGUACUGUAAUUUCUUCUGUAUCAUAUUUAUUUUAUAUUCAUCUGUCCUCUCAGGUAGUAUGUGGACUCAUGUAUGUUUGGGGAAAGAUGGACAGCUAUAAUUUAUUCCAUAAAUUAUAGAAUUAUAAUUAUUAUUGCAUUCCAUUAAUCCAUAUAAUGCUUUGGCUAGUUAAUUGUAUGUAUUCAAUAAAUGUUGACUGGAUUGGAUUAAAUAUGAAAUAUUAAGUAGUAGUAAAAUUAUAAACAAGUUCUAAAUUAUUGAAUUAUUAUUCUCUCUAUUAAAAGAUGUUAGAGUACUUAAAAUCAAUGGCGUUUUAAAAUCUUAAACUUUAAGUCAGCUAAAAUCGUAACAGUAGAAUUUUUAAACAAUAUAAUUCUUGAAAAAGCAGUAAUGUAGUCUUAUUCACAGAACUACAACUGAAUCACAUCCUUUAAGUAAUCAGUAGUUAGUUUCUAACCAACUCCUAGGGCUAAAACACAAAUAGACUCCGGAUCUGACAAAUAGUGGAAUAUACAGAAAAGCUCCUAUUUUCUAUCUCAUUGCAUGUCAAUUCAUUCUUAAAAGAAGUCACAUCAAAUUCUGUUUCAACAAAAAAUAGCCAAUAAGACAAUUCUAAUUAGGUCAAGAGAUAAACAAUUAAAAAACAAAUCACCAAGGCAAAUAAGUUUUUAAAAUGUGAGUCAUCCAGGUUAAAAAAAAAAAACUUAGGAAAAUUUAUAAAAACUUGUCUAUGUCCCUUAAAGCGACCUUAGGAUCUUUCCUUGUUGCUUAGAAGUCAAGGGCGUCUGAAUAGUAGGACAAGAUGCCUAAGGAAAUAUGAUUUGAAUCCCUUUAUUAAAGACCCCCUCUUUCUUUCCAGCCCAAGGUCCAGUGGAGACAGGACAGGAAAGCUUAGAGGUGAUGGUGGGGGCAGAAUAGAAUAGCCAGAUGACGGCACACAGGGUGGAGAAGAAUGGAUGCCAGGCUCCUCAUUGUGAGUCCACAUUGGGUGCCUUGGUUGAGGCCCUUGGCAUAAUUCUCAUGAAUUACACAAUCCGAUCUUCUUCUGUACAGAAGUUUUCAGAGGCACAUUGAGUGUGCUAAAAUGGCAUUACUACCUACUCAGAACAUGAUGUUUCCGUGUGCCCAUAUACCUAGCUUAUUUCCAAAUGUAUUUGGGAAAAUAGGCUUCCUUGGAGUUCCCGUUGUGGCUCAGUGGUAAUGAAAAUGACUAGUAUCCAUGAGGACAUGGGUUCAAUCCCUGGCUCGCUCAGUGGGUUAAGGAUCCAGCAUUUCCACAAGCUGCAGCGUAGAUCUCAGGCCUGGCUCAGAUCUGAUGUUGCUAUGGCUGUGGUGUAGACUGGCUGCUGUAGCUCAGAUCUGACCCCCUAGCCUGGGAACUUCCACAUGCAGCAG